GAUGAACGCUGGCGGCGUGCCUAAUACAUGCAAGUCGAACGCUUCGAUUUAUCGAAGAGUGGCGAACGGGUGAGUAAUACAUAAGUAACCUGCCCUUAACAGGGGGAUAACUACUAGAAAUGGUAGCUAAGACCGCAUAGGUGGAUUGAUCGCAUGAUCGAUUCAUUAAAAGACCUUUCAAGGUCUGGAUAAGGAUGGACUUAUGUUGCAUUAGCUAGUUGGUAAGGUAACGGCUUACCAAGGCGACGAUGCGUAGCCGGCCUGAGAGGGUGAACGGCCACAUUGGGACUGAGACACGGCCCAAACUCCUACGGGAGGCAGCAGUAGGGAAUUUUCGGCAAUGGGGGAAACCCUGACCGAGCAACGCCGCGUGAAGGAAGAAGGAAUUCGUUUCGUAAACUUCUGUUAUAAAGGAAGAAAGAUGAUAUCAGGAAAUGGAUGUCAAGUGACGGUACUUUAUGAGAAAGCCACGGCUAACUACGUGCCAGCAGCCGCGGUAAUACGUAGGUGGCAAGCGUUAUCCGGAAUUAUUGGGCGUAAAGAGGGAGCAGGCGGUAACAAAGGUCUGUGGUGAAAGCCUGAAGCUUAACUUCAGUAAGCCAUAGAAACCAGGUAACUAGAGUGCAAGAGAGGAUCGUGGAAUUCCAUGUGUUGCGGUGAAAUGCGUAGAUAUAUGGAGGAACACCAGUGGCGAAGGCGACGAUCUGGCUUGUAACUGACGCUGAGUCCCGAAAGCGUGGGGAGCAAAUA
rnacentral:rRNA from 1 species